GACGGGCCCGCACAAGCAGCGGAGCGUGUGGUUUAAUUCGAUGAUACACGAAGAACCUUACCAGGGUUUGACAUGCUGGUAGUAGGGAUCCGAAAGGUGACCGACCCUCGGGGAGCCAGCACAGGUGCUGCAUGGCUGUCGUCAGCUCGUGCCGUGAGGUGUUCGGUUAAGUCCGGUAACGAGCGCAACCCCUGCCCUUAGUUACCAGCGGGUAAUGCCGGGAACUCUAAGGGGACUGCCUUGGUUAACGAGGAGGAAGGUGGGGACGACGUCAAGUCAUCACGGCCUUUAUGUCCAGGGCCACACACGUGCUACAAUGGCCGGCACAAAGGGUUGCCAACCCGCGAGGGGGAGCCAAUCCCAAAAAUCCGGCCUCAGUUCGGAUUGCAGUCUGCAACUCGACUGCAUGAAGUCGGAAUCGCUAGUAAUCGCGAAUCAGCAGGUCGCGGUGAAUACGUUCCCGGGCCUU
rnacentral:rRNA from 1 species